GAUGAACGCUGGCGGCGUGCCUAAUACAUGCAAGUCGAGCGAACGGACGAGAAGCUUGCUCCUCUGACGUUAGCGGCGGACGGGUGAGUAACACGUGGAUAACCUACCUAUAAGACUGGGAUAACUUCGGGAAACCGGAGCUAAUACCGGAUAAUAUUUUGAACCGCAUGGUUCAAAAGUGAAAGACGGUCUUGCUGUCACUUAUAGAUGGAUCCGCGCUGCAUUAGCUAGUUGGUAAGGUAACGGCUUACCAAGGCAACGAUGCAUAGCCGACCUGAGAGGGUGAUCGGCCACACUGGAACUGAGACACGGUCCAGACUCCUACGGGAGGCAGCAGUAGGGAAUCUUCCGCAAUGGGCGAAAGCCUGACGGAGCAACGCCGCGUGAGUGAUGAAGGUCUUCGGAUCGUAAAACUCUGUUAUUAGGGAAGAACAUAUGUGUAAGUAACUGUGCACAUCUUGACGGUACCUAAUCAGAAAGCCACGGCUAACUACGUG
rnacentral:rRNA from 1 species